GAGGAAAUGUGGAGUGACUGUCAGAUGCAGCCAGCAGAAUAAGUGGUUUGGCUGAACUGUCUUACUCCCACAUCCUC
ensembl:miRNA